GGACCAGUGACGCAGUGGUUAGCGUUCCGCUCUUAUAUGACUUUCAUUGCCUUAUGGCAGUGACAUUCAUGUGAAUCCAGCUAUGCGGGGGUCGUGGGUUCGAAUCCCACUUGGUCUA